rnacentral:rRNA from 1 species
AAUGGACGAAAGUCUGACGGAGCGACGCCGCGUGGAUGAUGAAGGCCGAAAGGUUGUAAAGUUCUUUUACUGGGGAAGAAUAACCGUAGGAGGGAAUGCCUGCGGGAUGACAUGAACCGGUGAAUAAGCCCCGGCCAACUACGUGCCAGCAGCCGCGGUAACACGUAGGGGGCGAGCGUUGUUCGGAAUUACUGGGCGUAAAGGGCAUGUAGGCGGUUUGGUAAGCCUGGCGUGAAAUACUGCAGCUUAACUGCAGGGGUGCGUUGGGAACUGCUGAGCUUGAGUGACGGAGAGGGAGCUAGAAUUCCUGGUGUAGGGGUGAAAUCUGUAGAUAUCAGGAAGAAUACCGAUGGCGAAGGCAAGCUCCUGGCCGAUGACUGACGCUGAGGUGCGAAAGUGUGGGGAUCAAA